AAAAACGAUUCAUACGCGGCCUGACUCGCCCGUCGUUGACAUCGCAGCCCGCACGAGAACACGAGGGUUCCGCCGCCGCCGCACCCACAUCCAUCCUCUCCGCGAUGCCCGUCCUCGCUCCGCCGUCGUCGAAUCCGGUCGAGCUCGUCAGGAUUCGCCGCAUCUCGCGCGACGCCCAUCCCGUGCACCCAGCCCCCGCUAACGACGGGCGCCCAGCACCAUCGACGGCGCGCGCCUCCAGCAUCCACCUCCCUAGGAGAGCUCCUCCUGCCUCCGGCGGAGGCGCAUGAGCCGAGCCCGGCCAUAACACGCCCGUGGCCGUGGCCAACAACAACCUCCAGGCUGCAUCAGCGUUCGGUGGCCAACUCUUGAUGGAUUUCCAAUGUGCCUCCGGCCUCCCAUUUUUUUUUUCAGAAUCUACUCCAAUGAGUGAAUCAUAGCCACCAAUAAACAGGCACCCAGUGAAGAUGUCACACUUUGAUGUGAAGUGCCUGAGAUCACAUUCAUCACCAGGAAGGUUCAAGAUGUUCCGCAUCAAAGGCGUCGGCAGUGCUACAAGAGUUGAAGAAAGACGAGGUUUUGGUGUUGUUACUACUAUCUGUGAAGUGUCAAACCUGCCGAAGAAGGCAUGCCUAUUUUUCUCGUUGUGUUCUGAUGCCGAUAAAUAAACCCAAGUGUGAGAAAAAUGUUGGCGAACAGAUAACAAAAGCUAUCCGGACUGAUGUCAGAAAAUUAUUAUGGUAACAAUAAACUAUACUAUGUUUUAGGGAACUAUAAAACAAAGUCGUUUACUGUGGUAGAAAAAAGUAGUACAGUCAAUCAUGUACCUUUACAACAGAGAAACAGGGGAUAUGCUGUGGAAAAAACGGCAUAUGAUAAAAGCACAGACUUAAAAUGAAUGCUCAUGUUUUCUUCCUAUAAAAGAGAACUCUUAUCAUAUUAUGAUUGAUUACAAGGACUACACUUAAUUGAUUUGUUUUCUGUUAGGAAGAAAAUAUGUUGUUGACGGGGAUUUUAAAAAGCUUGAGGUGGUACCGAACGGGAAACAGUUCAUGGAGUUAUUUGAGGUAUCAUCCUUUUGAUAUAGAGGUGGCAUUCCCAUUGUGUAUUACAAACUUGAACUGGUAAUGGAUGUAUGGCUUCAUGUAUCUUCAUCUCUAUUUGGAUGAUUUGGUGCGAGUUUCUCCGGUGUCUAUUCUGAUUCCAGUGGCUUGUUCUUUCUAGCAAGACAGUGCUUGUGUUAAUGCCUAUGGUACCUUCCGAACUGAACUUGAACACUUUCAUGCUUCUGAACUAAAUUUUGAAGACAUGCAGGCAACUUCAUUUCAAGCAUCGGGUUGACUUGAGGCCUGACACCGGUGAGGCCAGAGACGACAGUUCAUCGCGGUGGCCGUUGACAACGGCCAGGAAGCUAGAAAAAACUAGCACGUCUCUCUCCCUCGCGUGAGUGUUGAAUCAGUCCUGUGAAAUUUCUAUGCCCAAUAUGUGCCCGGGCGUCGCCGCCACUCCGUGCCUGCCACAACGUCAGCCCUCCCGUUUCUGCACUGUCGCCACCACCGGCCGGUAGCCCGUGCAGCCACCUCAAGCAUCCUCCACCGCCCAUGCCAUGUCCCCGAUGUAACGUGGGAUCUGCCUCAUGGGCGAGGAAACCAGAACCUUGGCCGCCAUCUCACAUGCGACGGCGUGCACCUCAGUGUGCGGUGAGAAUGAUGCAUUUUCCCAAUGGGAGAUCUUUCUUCAGCUAACUUAAUGUUCUUACAAGGAUAGUUUACAAGAUCGUGGUAUUAUUGUAACAGCAGUAGCCAUGGAGACAUCAGGUGAUCCUUAUGAGCAGAACUAUCAUGAGUCAAUAGAAUUCAUAAACUUGCAGUUUA